UUAAGUUCAGCGGGUCUUCCUACCUGAUCCGAGGUCAACCUUGGGUAAAUAAGGCUUUUAACGGCCGGAACCCGCAGCACGCCCAGAGCGAGAUGUAACUACUACGCUCGGGGUGACAGCGAGCCCGCCACUGAUUCAGGGCUGCGGACAGCCGCAGGGCCCCAACACAAGCCAAGGGCUUGAUGGUUGAAAUGACGCUC
rnacentral:misc_RNA from 1 species